rnacentral:rRNA from 1 species
UACGUAGGGUGCAAGCGUUAAUCGGAAUUACUGGGCGUAAAGCGUGCGCAGGCGGUUAUGCAAGACAGAGGUGAAAUCCCCGGGCUCAACCUGGGAAUUGCAUUUGAAACUGGGAAACUAGAGUGUGUGAGAGGGGGGUAGAAUUCCAAGUGUAGCGGUGAAAUGCGUAGAGAUGUGGAGGAACACCGAUGGCGAAGGCAGCCCCCUGGGUCAAGAUUGACGCUCAUGCACGAAAGCGUGGGGAGCAAACAGG